AAGGGCACCACAAGAACGCGUGGAGCAUGUGGCUUAAUUUGACUCAACGCGGGAAAUCUUACCGGGUCCGGACACACUGAGGAUUGACAGGUGUUUGUGGAUUGGCUUUUUGUUCUUUUUUUGAAUAAUAAGUCUUUCCACUAUAAAUAUGCUAGUCCUUUCAUGAUUGUGUGAUAGGUGGUGCAUGGCCGUUCUUAGUUCGUGGAGUGAUCUGUCUGCUUAAUUGCGUUUCACUAUGGGAUGAUCUAUCUUCCGCUCUUUUUUGCAUUGGCCAUUUUUGUUUUUGUCUACAAUCUUUUGUUUGUUUUGUUUGUUGGUUCUUUGUGUUGCAAUUUUUUUGUUUCACAAUCCAUCAUCCAAUGCAUCCRAUUCUUUUUGUUUUCAAAACUUGGUCAUUUUUUGCAUCUUUGCGGUAAGGUUACUUCCCUGAAGGCAACGAACGUGACCGCAACCUCUUGUUGCCUCCUUUUUUGAAAUAAACAUUCGUCUUUAGCUCUUCCAAAUUUUUUUUUGGUGUGCUAUUGUACUGUGCAUGGAGUGCAAACUAGAGGGACCGCUGACAACUUUUUUAAAACAGAGGAAGGUUGCGGCAAUAACAGGUCUGUGAUGCCCUUAGAUGUUCCGGGCUGCACACGUGCUACAAUGAUUAUUGCAGUGAGCAUGUAACCCGAUUUUGAAUUACUCGAUAUGUGGUUUCUUGUUUUGAUUUUCUUUUCAAAACAAGUACCAUUGUCGAACUUACCUGCUUCGAAAGUAAGCAGGUAAUCAAUUCGAAGUAAUGAUUUCCAUUUCGCACAUACUUAUAUUGCCUGUUUCUUAUUGAUGAACCGCUUCAGUUGGGUUAGUUUCGGCUGAUCUUAUCUGUUGUCGCUUGUUCCAGGUGAUAUGUGCUCCAUUAAUUCAUGGUGGGGACAGACCAUUGUUAAUUGUUGGUCUCGGUCUCAACUAGGAAUGCCUUGUACGGGUCUUUGGUUCAACAAACCACCCGGAAUAUGUCCCUGCCCUUUGUACACACCGCCCGUCGCUCUUACCGAUGGACUUCUCUGUGAGUAUAGAGGACUGGCUAGCUAUUUAUAGCAAGCUAUGGAAAUCUACGCGAACAGCGAGGUCUAAAGGAAAGAGAAGUCG
rnacentral:rRNA from 1 species